rnacentral:lncRNA from 1 species
ACAAUCUAAUUGUUAUGUCAUGAUAGUUAGAGGUCCUCCCUAUUUAUAGAUGAUUUUUUAUAAUUUAUAAGACUAGAGUUUCUAAUUCAAAUAGGCUUUGAAUUAAUCCACAUCUUAUUAAAGGAGUCCUAAGGGAGAAAGAAUUGGCACCUAACUAGGCACUCACAUGCACCCACGCCUACACCCAAGGGUGGGGUGGCAACAACCAGCACCCCAUCACCCCU